ACACGCAUGACACACUGCAUAUCAAUAAGCGGAGGAAAAGAAACUAACAAGGAUUCCCUUAGUAACGGCGAGUGAAGCGGGAAGAGCUCAAAUUUGAAAUCUUCAAGGUUCUACCUUGACGAAUUGUAGUUUAAUAGAAGUGUUUUCUGUUAGUAGAGUUGGCUAAAAGUUCUUUGGAAUAGGACAUCAUAGAGGGUGAGAAUCCCGUAUUUGAUCAUUCUUUCUAGCUGUGUGAUACACUCUCAAAGAGUCGGAUUGUUUGGGAAUGCAGUCCAAAAUGGGUGGUAAAUUUCAUCUAAAGCUAAAUAUUGGCGAGAGACCGAUAGCGAACAAGUACCGUGAGGGAAAGAUGAAAAGAACUUUGAAAAGAGAGUUAAACAGUACGUGAAAUUGUCAAAAGGGAAGCGUUUGACACCAGUGUUGUUUUUCCGAAAAUCAAUUACGAAUGUUUUAUUUUUGAGAAGUUAUGACUUCAUCGGCUUGCUUCUCUCUUUAUGAAACUUUCUUAAUGCACUUUUCGGUUAACAAGUCAACAUCAAUUUCUUUUGUUGUAAAAGGGUAUGAGGAAGGUGGCUUUCUUUUCGGAGAAAGUGUUUAUAGCCUUGUACCUCUGCAAUCGGAGAGAUUGAGGUCUGCAGCGUAGAUCCUUCGGGGUUAGAUACAUUUGUGCUAAGUUAUAGCUUUUCAUAGACAACUUGUUGACUAUGUUUAGUCUUGUAGCUUACUCGCUUAUGCUAUUUUACCUACGCUUAGGAUGUUGACUGAUAUGUAGUCGUA
rnacentral:rRNA from 1 species